UGCGACGGCGCGAGGCGGCAGGAUCUGGUGUGUAGCGCUCGGGCAAGGGCGAAUGAGGCCGGCGACGGCGCUUGACGGGUGCGCGGAGGUGACGACGCUUGACCAGGCCGGAGGCGAUGAUGCUUGACCAGGCCGGAGGCGACGACGCUUGACGGGUGCACGGCGGUGACGGCGAUUAACCAGGCCGGAGGCGACGGCGCUUGACUAGGCCGGAGGCGACGGCACUUGACGAGGGCGCGGCGGCGACGACGCUUGACGAGGCUGCAGCGGCGGUAGGGGGCGCGGCGGUGGAGCUUGACGAUGAUGCGACAACGGCGCUUGAGAGGGCGCGACGGCGGCGUUGACGAGGUGUAACAACCCAGCAAGAUCCAGAAUCAAACCAGAGAAAGGGAUGAGAGAUCAGAGCCUUGUGGUUUCCUUUUUUUUGCUCCUUCCCUAUCCACUCAGACUAAAUAGACACACACACACACACUCCUGGCCUAUGGGCCCCACGCUUACAAGGAUCAAUGGCCCAGACUUCCCUUGUCCACUCCAUGUUGGGAGGGAUCAGGGAUGCAGGUGUGACAUGCCCGUUUUCUUCAGAACGAGCUCCAUAUUCGCAGAGUGCAUCACCGU